rnacentral:tRNA from 9 species
CGCGGGGUAGAGCAGCAUGGUAGCUCGCAAGGCUCAUAACCUUGAGGCCACGGGUUCAAAUCCCGUCCCCGCAA